CGACAACCGAACGUACACGACACAAAUUAAAAAUCAAAAAUUAUAAAACAAACCUCUCAAACGUUUUCGAAAUCAACGAUUUCAUCUUCGGGAGAUGAUACACGAUACUCGUAUAUACCUGAAAAUUAAUUAUUAAGUUCCACAGUGCUCGAACAUUAAUGUUUUACCGUGUUUGUUAAGAUUCCCGUUAGACAUUAAUUCAUAUAUCGUUAUUGUGAAAAUUGGAUAAAACUUUA